GACGAACGCUGGCGGCGCGCUUAACACAUGCAAGUCGAACGGUAAGGCCCUUCGGGGUACACGAGUGGCGAACGGGUGAGUAACACGUGGGUGAUCUGCCCUGCACUUCGGGAUAAGCCUGGGCAACUGGGUCUAAUAACGGAUAGGACUCCUGGCUUCAUGGUUGGGGGUGGAAAGCUUUUGCGGUGUGGGAUGGGCCCGCGGCCUAUCAGCUUGUUGUUGGGGUAAUGGCCUACCAAGGCGACGACGGGUAGCCGGCCUGAGGGGGUGACCGGUCACACUGGGACUGAGAUACGGCCCAGACUCCUACGGAGGCAGCAGUGGGGAAUAUUGCACAAUGGGCGCAAGCCUGAUGCAGCGACGCCGCGUGAGGGAUGACGGCCUUCGGGUUGUAAACCUCUUUCAGCUACGACGAAGCGCAAGUGACGGUAGUAGCAGAAGAAGGACCGGCCAACUACGUGCCAGCAGCCGCGGUAA
rnacentral:rRNA from 1 species